UCCCUACGGGGCGCAGCAGUGGGGGAUAUUGCACAAUGGGGGAAACCCUGAUGCAGCGACGCCGCGUGUGGGAAGACGGUCCUCUGGAUUGUAAACCACUGUCCCCAGGGACGAAGAUGACGGUACCUGGGGAGGAAGCUCCGGCUAACUACGUGCCAGCAGCCGCGGUAAUACGUAGGGAGCGAGCGUUGUCCGGAAUUACCGGGUGUAAAGGGAGCGUAGGCGGGGGUGCAAGUUGGGGGUCAAAACUACCGGCUCAACUGGUAGUCGCACUCAAAACUGGCGCUCUUGAGUGAAGUAGAAGG
rnacentral:rRNA from 1 species